CUCCUAGCAACAGGAAACAUCUGCUUCGGCGAAGACCAAUGAGGUUGUAGAGAGAAUGGUGUUGUUGCUUGUUGCACAGAAAAGGAUAUUUUAAGACCCUAGGAGUGUUUCGUACUCUGAAGGGAUUAUUUAAACGAAGAUACGGUGACUGGGUGUGAAGCGCAAACUUAAGGCAGAGCUUGGAGCCAGAGCUUGGAGCGGGAUAAUUGGCACAGACGGUAAAUGUCGCAGCAACGGACGGUCACACAUUGGACAGACACAUCCAGAAGAACGCAUUACCUCAAAGGCUGCCUACAUAUAAAAGGACUGCUGAUUUGCUGAAGUGCUUUAUGAAUUGUUGGAGAUCGCCAUCAUAAGGCCCCUGAAGGCAAUGUGUGAGGCUCAGAGAGCAUCCCAAGCAAUCAGGACCCCAGUCAGACAACUCAUUUGUGGCUCUGGGCUGUCAUCAGAAGUCGAUUCCCUUGAAUAGAGAUCAAACCAUUCAACAACGUCGAAAGUUGCCUACUUCAAGAGGAAGUAUGCGGAAGAGGAGGAUUUACAUGGCGACCUACAUGGAUAUUUUCAAAAACACCUGAUACGCCAGGAGGACCGCAGCUGCAUCCUCAAGCUCUCCUUGGAGAAGCUGAGAUUCCUGGAGGACCCUGAAGCGUACCUGCGACGCUCUGUGCUCAUCAACAACCUUCUGAGGAAGAUCCACCAUGAGGAGAAGGAGGUGGAGGAGGAAGAGGAGAGGCAGGGGACCUGUGACAGGGGCUCAGGCGGGCAGCGGCUGCUCUACCCAGAAAGGAAACGUGUGAAGGUGGUGGUGGCAGACUGCUGCUCUCAGUCCUUUGGGUUGGAGGAGAUACCCCACUACCACCUGGUUCCCUACCCCUCCCCCACAUGCCUCUAUGGCCUGGGCACAUGUCCCAGCAUCUCCCCUGGCCACGGGGCUCAAGUCCUGCUCUACAAACUGGAUGAUAAUGGGUGACUGUGACUUGCUGCCAAAGUACGGGAAGAAAUUGAUAUGGACCAUGCACAUCGAAGUAAUUGGCAGGGAGUGGUUCGGUGACAGAACCCCCUAUUCACUCAGAGCUGCAUUCUGUAUCCUGCAGUCUGACGUUAUCUACAUCCAAAAGGGAGGCUACGGCUUCUCCUGUGUGAUUUUUGACUAGGUCAACAGAGCAAGAGUCCAAAUCAGGGUCUGUCUUCUAAGGGCAUCUUUAUUACAGCGUCACUGCCUUUACAAGCUGAUGUGAGAGUCAGAAAUUCCUUGCAGGAAUUUGUUUUAAUGGUCUUUGCACAUGUGAACCUUAAGGGAUACAUAUAGUACAACUCAUGCACCCCGCCACUACACUACUCUCUAAGAAAAAAAGGUGCUAUCUAGAACCUUACAUGGUUCUUCAGCUGUCCCCAUAGGAGAACCCUUUGAAAUAUUUUU